UAUGUGUAAGCUGACAAGAAAUGAAACCAGUAUGCUUUACUGGAUGUGCAAUGUCGGUGUGCAUGUUCAUCAGAGUGUAAGCAGCUUGAGAGAAAAGGUGGGAAUAAGAGGCAUCAGAUGUGGUAUGUAAGAGAGCUGACUGCACUAGUAUGGUCAUGUGAUGCGUAUGGAC